GACGAACGCUGGCGGCGUGCUUAACACAUGCAAGUCGAACGGAAAGGCCCUGCUUUUGCGGGGUGCUCGAGUGGCGAACGGGUGAGUAACACGUGAGUAUCCUGCCCUUGACUUUGGGAUAACUUCAGGAAACUGGGGCUAAUACCGGAUAGGAGCUCCUGCUGCAUGGUGGGGGUUGGAAAGUUUCGGCGGUUGGGGAUGGACUCGCGGCUUAUCAGCUUGUUGGUGGGGUAGUGGCUUACCAAGGCUUUGACGGAUAGCCGGCCUGGGAGGGUGACCGGCCACAUGGGGACUGAGAUACGGCCCAGACUCCAACGGGAGGCAGAAGUGGGGAAUAUUGCACAAUGAGCGGAAGCCUGAUGCAGCAACGCCGCGUGCGGGAUGACGGCCUUCGGGUUGUAAACCGCUUUCUCCUGUGACGAAGCGGGAGUGACGGUAAUGGGUAAAGAAGCACCGGCUAACUACGUG
rnacentral:rRNA from 1 species